GACGAACGCUGGCGGCGUGCCUAAUACAUGCAAGUAGAACGCUGAAGGAGGAGCUUGCUUCUCUGGAUGAGUUGCGAACGGGUGAGUAACGCGUAGGUAACCUGCCUGGUAGCGGGGGAUAACUAUUGGAAACGAUAGCUAAUACCGCAUAAUAGUAGAUGUUGCAUGACAUUUGCUUAAAAGGUUCAAUUGCAUCACUACCAGAUGGGCCUGCGGUGUAUUAGCUAGUUGGUGAGGUAACGGCGCACCAAGGCAACGAUACAUAGCCGACCGGAGAGGGGGAGCGGCCACACUGGGACGGAGACACGGCCCAGACGCAUACGGGAGGCAGCAGUAGUGCAACGGCGGCAAGGGACGGAAGUCUGAGCGAGCUACGCGGCGUGAGUGAAGAAGGUCUUCGGGUCGGAAAGGACGGUUGUAAGAGAAGAACGAGUGUGAGAGUGGAAAGUACACACUGUGACGGUAUCUGACAAGAAAGGAACGGCUAACUACGUG
rnacentral:rRNA from 1 species